ACGGCGAGUGAAGCGGCAAAGCUCAAUUUGAAAUCUGGUACCUUCGGUGCCCGAGUUGUAAUUUGGAGAGGGCAACUUUGGGGCCGUUCCUUGUCUAUGUUCCUUGGAACAGGACGUCAUAGAGGGUGAGAAUCCCGUGUGGCGAGGAGUGCGGUUCUUUGUAAAGUGCCUUCGAAGAGUCGAGUUGUUUGGGAAUGCAGCUCUAAGUGGGUGGUAAAUUCCAUCUAAAGCUAAAUAUUGGCGAGAGACCGAUAGCGAACAAGUACAGUGAUGGAAAGAUGAAAAGAACUUUGAAAAGAGAGUGAAAAAGUACGUGAAAUUGUUGAAAGGGAAGGGCAUUUGAUCAGACAUGGUGUUUUGUGCCCUCUGCUCCUUGUGGGUAGGGGAAUCUCGCAUUUCACUGGGCCAGCAUCAGUUUUGGUGGCAGGAUAAAUCCAUAGGAAUGUAGCUUGCCUCGGUAAGUAUUAUAGCCUGUGGGAAUACUGCCAGCUGGGACUGAGGACUGCGACGUAAGUCAAGGAUGCUGGCAUAAUGGUUAUAUGCCGCCCGUCUU
rnacentral:rRNA from 1 species